GCGUCUGUAGCCUAGUUGGUAAAGGCAGCACUCUAGUAUGUGUCUCAGCAUAGCUGAGGUCGUGAGUUCGACUCUCACCAGAAACA
rnacentral:tRNA from 1 species